UGGGAUUAUAGUGACGGGCACUUCCGGACUAAUUAUACUAUCAAUAUUCUGAAUUAACUGUCAAAUGUCUCAUUCGGGUAGUUAUUCCGACAACAGGAGCACCUAGAACUAUGCUAAAACUAUGGACACAUUAAACGGGCCGUGGGGUCGAACGGGACAAUUUUCUUUACGCCACUCUUACAAUAGAAGUAGGGCUAUGAAUUUUGUAGGAAAGUACAUAUAAUCGAUAGCUGAUUGUGAAACGUA